UACGUAGGGUGCAAGCGUUAAUCGGAAUUACUGGGCGUAAAGCGUGCGUAGACGGUUAUUUAAGUCAGGUGUGAAAGCCCCGGGCUCAACCUGGGAAUUGCAUUUGAGACUGAAUAGCUAGGGUGCGGAAGAGGGAAGCGGAAUUCCCAGUGUAGCGGUGAAAUGCGUAGAUAUUCGCAAGAACACCAGUGGCGAAGGCGGCUUACUGGUCCGGUUCUGACGCUGAGGCGCGAAAGCGUGGGGAGCAAACAGG
rnacentral:rRNA from 1 species